rnacentral:rRNA from 1 species
UGCGGCUUAAUUUGACUCAACGCGGGGUAAUUUACCAGGUAUAACAUGAUAUAAAAUUUUAUCAUGAUAGUGGUGCAUGGCCGUUUCCAAUGGAUGCUGUGAAGUAAUGAUUAAUUUCAACAAGAUGUGAGACCCUCUAUAAGACAGAUGUAGUGAUACAUAUGAAGGAGAGGAUUAAAACAGGUCCGUUAUGCCCUAAGAUAAUCUGGGUUGCACGCGCAGUACAAUAAUAUUUAAUAUUAUAAGGGAUAAUAUAAUGUAAGAUAUAUUUGAACAUGGAAUUGCUAGUAAAUUUUAUUUAAUAAGUAGAAUUGAAUGUGUCCCUGUUCUUUGUACACACCGCCCGUCGCUAUCUAAGAUGGUAUUAUCUAUGAACAAAUUUAUAAAGUGAAUAGAUAGUACUAGAUCUGAUAUAAGUCGUAACAUGGUUGCUGUUGGAGAACCAUUAGCAGGAUCAUAAAU